AUUGAACGCUGGCGGCAUGCUUUACACAUGCAAGUCGAACGGCAGCACGGGUGCUUGCACCUGGUGGCGAGUGGCGACGGGUGAGUAAUACAUCGGAACGUGUCCUGAAGUGGGGGAUAACGCAUCGAAAGAUGUGCUAAUACCGCAUAUACUCUGAGGAGUAAAGUAGGGGAUCGAAAGACCUUAUGCUUUUGGAGCGGCCGAUGUCUGAUUAGCUAGUUGGUGGGGUAAUUGCCCACCAAGGCGACGAUCAGUAGUUGGUCUGAGAGGACGACCAGCCACACUGGGACUGAGACACGGCCCAGACUCCUACGGGAGGCAGCAGUGGGGAAUUUUGGACAAUGGGCGCAAGCCUGAUCCAGCAAUGCCGCGUGAGUGAAGAAGGCCUUCGGGUUGUAAAGCUCUUUCAGUUGAGAAGAAAAGAUUGUAACUAAUAAUUACAGUUCAUGACGGUAUCAACAGAAGAAGCACCGGCUAACUCCGUG
rnacentral:rRNA from 1 species